GCUUAUAUGAAUCCCAUAGCUAUGGCCAGAGCACGAGGUCCUGCCCAGAACUCGGGACCGACCAUACAAGACUACUUGAACAGGCCGAGGCCAACAUGGGAAGAAGUGAAAGAACAACUAGAAAAGAAAAAGAAAGGAUCCAGGGCUCUGGCUGAGUUUGAAGAAAAGAUGAAUGAGAAUUGGAGGAAAGAACUGGAAAAACACAGAGAGAAAUUACUGGGUGGAAGCGAGAGUUCCUCCAAAAAGAAGGAGGUGAGUUAUUUUCAAUUUGGUACAAUCUGUGUUAGGAACUAGAUUUAUUGUUGAUGCUGCCAAUACAGAUGUCAUAAAUGCAUUUUAAAAGCCAGUAUCUCAAAGGACAUGAAACUAAAUGCACAGCAAAAGAACAUGAUGCCAAGUAACAUUUGUUUUAUUCUGUUUUUAAGAAAAAGAAAAAGGAAAAGAAGAAAUCUAAUAGGGUGAGCAAAAUUUUUGGUUUUCUGAGUUUUUUGCUUUGAUGUUGUUCCUAUUUGUCAUUUAAGCUCUUGGAAAGAGAAAGUAUAGCCGUAAUUUUGAAUUUAGCUGUUAAAUUGAUUUUUAUUUGAGAGAGAUGGCUUACAUUCUAUACAAGGAGAAUUUUACUUCUGCUUAAGGGGAGGAAAAGAGCAUGAAAUACAUAUUAUUAAAUGAAAAAUGUUAGAAGUCACUUUUUACAGUUUUAUUUAAGAAAAUUUAUGUAAUACCAGCUUCUUGGAAGUAAAAUUUCAUUGAUAAUACUUUGCAAAUGAAGAAAUUUUAAAGGAAGUGUUUGGAUGGACUUUUGACUAUUUGCCAGACAAAAUGCUGCAUCUCACAAGCUUCACUUUUUGUUGUGUUUGGUCAAGUUGUCUUCAUCUUCCUCUUCUUCAUCAAGCUCUGAUUCUUCCAGCAGUUCAUCUGAUUCAGAAGAUGAGGAUAAAAAGCAAGGGAAGAAAAAAAGGAAAAAGAAAUAUCGCUCCUCACGGAAAUCUUCAACAAGCUCCACUUCUGAAUCGGAGUCAGACAGCAAGGACAGCACAAAAAAGAAAAGGUCAAAGGAAGAUCAUGAAAAAGAGAAGGAAGGCAAAAAUCACCACAGGAAGAGGAAGAAAGCCAGUCGUGGUGAUGGACCUUUAUCAUCAGAAUCCUUAUCGGAAUCAGAUCAUACAGAGGAGGUGCAAGCAAAAAAGAAGAGAAACAAUGAGGAAAAAGAGAAAACAGCAAGUAUCCUUCUUUACUUAUAGUGUAGUUUUAGGAUAUAAAUGCUCUGUACUUGGUUAAUUUCCAAUUUCACAUUUUUUCAGCAAUACAAAUGUUUUAUAGCAGAAGUCUACUGUCACUUGUAUCUAAAUUUACAAUUUCUCUAUUUACCUGCUGAAGUCACUUUUUCAAUUGUUGAACUAAAAGAAGAAUUUGUCACUAUUUUACCUCAAUACAUGUGUAUGAUUUGAGAUGAUAAAAGUUUGCCGCUGAUUAUAGUACGUUUUGCCCUGUACCAGAGUGGAACUGAUCAGUUCACUACUAGAACCGCCAAGGUCUGUGUGCCUGGGGCAGGGCAGCAGUUUGCCACAGGGUGGGAGUGCUGUUCCUGUGUGUUCCUUGCUCAGCCUCCCUCUACCAGACUGUGAAAGGGGCCUGAGGGCAUAAUCACUGCAACAUCUAGCCUAAUAUAUAUUUUUUUUUUCCCCCAACCAAAUAAAAAGCUGACGGCAGCCUGUUAGUUUUCUCCA
rnacentral:lncRNA from 1 species